rnacentral:rRNA from 1 species
AUUGAACGCUGGCGGCAGGCUUAACACAUGCAGGUCGAGCGAGCGGCGGACGGGUGAGUAAUGUCUGGGAAACUGCCUGAUGGAGGGGGAUAACUACUGGAAACGGUAGCUAAUACCGCAUACCAUCAGCUGAGCCCAGAUGGGAUGAGCUAGUAGGUGGGGUAAUGGCUCACCUAGGCGACGAUCCCUAGCGGGUCUGAGAGGAUGACCAGCAAAACUGGAACUGAAACACGGUCCAGACUCCUACGGGAGGAAGCAGUGGGGAAUAUUGCACAAUGAGGUCAAGCCUGAGGCAGCCAUGCCGCGUGUAUGAAGAGGGCCUUCGGGUUGUAAAGUACUUUCAGCGGGGAGGCGUUACCCGAAGAAGAAGCAACGGCUAACUCCGUGCCAGCAGCCGCGGUAAUUC